UACGAAGGGGGCUAGCGUUGCUCGGAAUUACUGGGCGUAAAGGGCGCGUAGGCGGCACUGUUAGUCAGGCGUGAAAUUCCUGGGCUCAACCUGGGGACUGCGCUUGAUACGGCAGAGCUAGAGGAUGGAAGAGGCUCGCGGAAUUCCCAGUGUAGAGGUGAAAUUCGUAGAUAUUCGGAAGAACACCAGUGGCGAAGGCGACUUACUGGACACAUAUUGACGCUGAGGUGCGAAAGCGUGGGGAGCAAACAGG
rnacentral:rRNA from 1 species